rnacentral:lncRNA from 1 species
UAUAAAACAUUUUUAAAAUCAGAAAAGGCUGCACUUCUCGAGUUUCCUGCCUCUGAGGAGAAGGGCAAAGAAUGUUUUUAGAAGACCCCACUUACUCACCCAGCCCUUGCGCAGUUUGGGGAACUAAGAGCCAGGGCGAACGUGAGGAAGCGCAGAGAGGAAGCACAUGGACGCCGGCUCUCUGCCCACACCGCGGUGAGACCCAGAGGGCGCGCUGUCCCCGGCAGGAGCCGCGUGCGCGCCCCCGCCCGCAAACCUCCGAGGUGGGCGAGGCGGGGAUGCUGUGGGCGGGGCCUGGCGGGGCGGGGCCACGGGCGAGGCUGCGGGGUAGGAGGCAGAGAGAGCGGAGCCGCGGUCCGCCCGCGCAGCGAGCGCUGAGCGUGGCCAGUGAGGGCCUCUUUGGGGUGCCGCGCGGUAGCGCACCCUUCUGCGUCCCGGCGGCCAGAACGUUGCUGCAGCGCUUUCUCUCGAUGCCGAGCGAGCCCCAGGCACCCUCGCCGGCCACACUUCUUUCUCACGGUGGAUGAGGUCGCCUGCAGAUCCGGGCUGGACCUUAUAGGCUGCCCAGGUGGAGUGCUGUUCUCCAUUUCAAGAUGCCUUUGCAGAUUUGAUAAAUGCAAACUAACAACUCUCAAGGCCGUGACAGAAGAGAAACCAUGACUGCUUGAAGCCUGGAGGACUGCCCUUAAUUAAGGAAAA